rnacentral:rRNA from 2 species
CGUUAACGAACGAGACCGCUGCCUGCUAAAUAGUCCCGUGAGUGAAUUUCACUGAUGAGGACUUCUUAGAGGGACGUGCAUUCUAUUAGAUGCAGGAAGAUAGCGGC